CAAGAUGUAGCUUAAUUAACCAAAGCAUUCGGCUUACACCCGGAAGACUUCCAUACNMMCCUGAACAUCUUGA
rnacentral:tRNA from 1 species